rnacentral:rRNA from 1 species
AUUGAACGCUGGCGGAAUGCUCUACACAUGCAAGUCGAGCGGCAGCGCGGGGGCAACCCUGGCGGCGAGCGGCGAACGGGUGAGUAACAUAUCGGAACGUACCCAGUCGUGGGGGAUAACUAUCCGAAAGGAUAGCUAAUACCGCAUACGUCCUGAGGGAGAAAGCGGGGGAUCGCAAGACCUCGCGCGAUUGGAGCGGCCGAUAUCGGAUUAGCUAGUUGGUGGGGUAAAGGCUCACCAAGGCGACGAUCCGUAGCGGGUCUGAGAGGACGACCCGCCACACUGGAACUGAGACACGGUCCAGACUCCUACGGGAGGCAGCAGUGGGGAAUUUUGGACAAUGGGGGCAACCCUGAUCCAGCCAUUCCGCGUGAGUGAAGAAGGCCUCGGUU